GCAUAACGCGAAGAACCUUACCAGGGCUUGACAUCCCUCUGACCGGUGUAGAGAUAUACCUUUCCCUUCGGGGACAGAGGUGACAGGUGGUGCAUGGUUGUCGUCAGCUCGUGUCGUGAGAUGUUGGGUUAAGUCCCGCAACGAGCGCAACCCUUGCCUUUAGUUGCCAGCAUUAAGUUGGGCACUCUAGAGGGACUGCCGAUGACAAAUCGGAGGAAGGUGGGGAUGACGUCAAAUCAUCAUGCCCUUUAUGUCCUGGGCUACACACGUGCUACAAUGGUCGGUACAACGAGCAGCGACCUAGCGAUAGGAAGCGAAUCUCUUAAAGCCGAUCCCAGUUCGGAUUGCAGGCUGCAACUCGCCUGCAUGAAGUCGGAGUUGCUAGUAAUCGCGGAUCAGAAUGCCGCGGUGAAUGCGUUCCCGGGUCUUGUACACACCG
rnacentral:rRNA from 1 species